GUUCGUUUCGACACAUCAGAACCCGAGAGUGUGAAAUUUAUGGCCAGAGAGAUCAUGAUUUUGCAGAAGUUAGAUCAUCCCAACGUGGUAAAGCUUGAAGGAAUUGCCACAUCCAGACUGCACUAUAGUCUUUAUCUUGUUUUCGAUUUCAUGCAGACAGAUUUAGCAUCGAUCAUCACCCGUCCCGAAGGGAGGCUUACUGAACCACAGGUCAAGAGUUAUAUGCAUCAGCUUCUUUCAGGUCUGCAGCACUG
rnacentral:misc_RNA from 1 species